GCCAGGCAAGGUGGCACAUGCCUGUAGUCCCAGCUACUAGGGAGGCUGAGGUGGGAGGAUCGCUUGAGCCCAGGAGUUCUGGGCUGUCGUGUGCUAUGCCUAUCAGGUGUCCACACUAAGUUCGGCAUCAAUAUGAUGACCUCCCCGGAGCAGGGGACCACCAGGUUGCCUAAGGAGGGGUGAACCGGCCCAGGUUGGAAACGGAGCAGGUCAAAACUCCCGUGCUGAUCAGUAGUGGGAUCACGCCUGUGAACAGCCACUGCACUCCAGCCUGGGCAACACAGGGAGACCCCGUCUCA
rnacentral:SRP_RNA from 1 species